AACGAACGCUGGCGGCAUGCCUAACACAUGCCAGUCGAACGAGACCUUCGGGUCUAGUGGCGCACGGGUGCGUAACGCGUGGGAACCUGCCCUUAGGUUCGGAAUAACUCCCCGAAAGGGGUGCUAAUACCGGAUAAUGUCUUCGGACCAAAGAUUUAUCGCCUUUGGAUGGGCCCGCGUUGGAUUAGCUAGUUGGUAGGGUAAAAGCCUACCAAGGCGACGAUCCAUAGCUGGUCUGAGAGGAUGAUCAGCCACACUGGGACUGAGACACGGCCCAGACUCCUACGGGAGGCAGCAGUGGGGAAUAUUGGACAAUGGGCGAAAGCCUGAUCCAGCAAUGCCGCAUGAGUGAUGAAGGCCUUAGGGUUGUAAAGCUCUUUUACCCGGGAUGAUAAUGACAGUACCGGGAGAAUAAGCUCCGGCUAACUCCGUG
rnacentral:rRNA from 1 species